rnacentral:tRNA from 1 species
GUCCCAGUAGCUCAAAUGGACAGAGCACCUGGUUUCUACCCAGGAUGUUGCGGGUUCGAAUCCUGCCUGGGACGCCA